rnacentral:tRNA from 1 species
AUUUAUAUAGUUUAAAUAAAACAUUAUAUUUUCAUUAUAAAAAUAGAAUUUAUAUUUCUUAUAAAUA